AGUAUGGAAGACUACUCAGGGACAUCUAAACUGGAGCUGAGUGUUGGCGGGAGCAAAUUGGACCAAAAAGACAGCUUCCAGGGGCAGCUAAAACCAUUUUUACCUUGUGGAAACCAAUGUGAUCUAUACUGGACCAGAAGAAAGAACAAGGAACCAACUAGGAGCCAAAGAACAUUGCUGGUCCACCACCAACAGCACCAAGAAAAGGCUUUGUGAAGGCACAGUGAGAAGGUGGCCGUUUACAAGCCAGGAAGAGUUUUCAUCAGCAACCAAAUUUGCUGGCACCUUGAUUAUGGACUUCUAGCCUCCAGAACUGUGAGAAAAUCAAGUUUUGUUGUUUAAGCCACCCAGUCUGUGAUAUUUUGUUAUAGCACCUGAGCACAUUAAUAACAUUUAGUAACA